CCAAUAGCGUAUAUUAAAGUUGUUGCAGUUAAAAAGCUCGUAGUUGAAUUUCGGGAUCAAUAUGCUGGUCGUGCCAUUGGUACGUACUAGUAUUAUUGGUUUCUCCCUUCUGAUGAAUCAUGAUGUCAUUAAUUUGAUGUCAUGGGGAGUCAGGACUGUUACUUUGAAAAAAUUAGAGUGUUUAAAGCAGGCUUGCGCUUGAAUACAUUAGCAUGGAAUAAUGAAAUAGGACGUUUGAUUCUAUUUUGUUGGUUUCUAGGAUUGACGUAAUGAUUAAUAGGGAUAGUUGGGGGCAUUAGUAUUCAAUUGUCAGAGGUGAAAUUCUUGGAUUUAUUGAAGACUAACUACUGCGAAAGCAUUUGCCAAGGAUGUUUUCAUUAAUCAAGAACGAAAGUUAGGGGAUCGAAGACGAUCAGAUACCGUCGUAGUCUUAACCAUAAACUAUGCCGACUAGGGAUCGGAUGAUGUUAAUUUUUUAAUGACUCAUUCGGCACCUUACG
rnacentral:rRNA from 1 species